UUGAACGCUGGCGGCAGGCCUAACACAUGCAAGUCGAACGGUAACAGGAAACAGCUUGCUGUUUCGCUGACGAGUGGCGGACGGGUGAGUAAUGUCUGGGAAACUGCCUGAUGGAGGGGGAUAACUACUGGAAACGGUAGCUAAUACCGCAUAACGUCGCAAGACCAAAGAGGGGGACCUUCGGGCCUCUUGCCAUCGGAUGUGCCCAGAUGGGAUUAGCUUGUUGGUGGGGUAACGGCUCACCAAGGCGACGAUCCCUAGCUGGUCUGAGAGGAUGACCAGCCACACUGGAACUGAGACACGGUCCAGACUCCUACGGGAGGCAGCAGUGGGGAAUAUUGCACAAUGGGCGCAAGCCUGAUGCAGCCAUGCCGCGUGUAUGAAGAAGGCCUUCGGGUUGUAAAGUACUUUCAGCGGGGAGGAAGGGAGUAAAGUUAAUACCUUUGCUCAUUGACGUUACCCGCAGAAGAAGCACCGGCUAACUCCGUGCCAGCAGCCGCGGUAAUACGGAGGGUGCAAGCGUUAAUCGGAAUUACUGGGCGUAAAGCGCACGCAGGCGGUUUGUUAAGUCAGAUGUGAAAUCCCCGGGCUCAACCUGGGAACUGCAUCUGAUACUGGCAAGCUUGAGUCUCGUAGAGGGGGGGUAGAAUUCCAGGUGUAGCGGUGAAAUGCGUAGAGAUCUGGAGGAAUACCGGUGGCGAAGGCGGCCCCCUGGACGAAGACUGACGCUCAGGUGCGAAAGCGUGGGGAGCAAACAGGAUUAGAUACCCUGGUAGUCCACGCCGUAAACGAUGUCGACUUGGAGGUUGUGCCCUUGAGGCGUGGCUUCCGGAGCUAACGCGUUAAGUCGACCGCCUGGGGAGUACGGCCGCAAGGUUAAAACUCAAAUGAAUUGACGGGGGCCCGCACAAGCGGUGGAGCAUGUGGUUUAAUUCGAUGCAACGCGAAGAACCUUACCUGGUCUUGACAUCCACGGAAGUUUUCAGAGAUGAGAAUGUGCCUUCGGGAACCGUGAGACAGGUGCUGCAUGGCUGUCGUCAGCUCGUGUUGUGAAAUGUUGGGUUAAGUCCCGCAACGAGCGCAACCCUUAUCCUUUGUUGCCAGCGGUCCGGCCGGGAACUCAAAGGAGACUGCCAGUGAUAAACUGGAGGAAGGUGGGGAUGACGUCAAGUCAUCAUGGCCCUUACGACCAGGGCUACACACGUGCUACAAUGGCGCAUACAAAGAGAAGCGACCUCGCGAGAGCAAGCGGACCUCAUAAAGUGCGUCGUAGUCCGGAUUGGAGUCUGCAACUCGACUCCAUGAAGUCGGAAUCGCUAGUAAUCGUGGAUCAGAAUGCCACGGUGAAUACGUUCCCGGGCCUUGUACACACCGCCCGUCACACCAUGGGAGUGGGUUGCAAAAGAAGUAGGUAGCUUAACCUUCGGGAGGGCGCUUACCACUUUGUGAUUCAUGACUGGGGUG
rnacentral:rRNA from 1 species